AUUGAACGCUGGCGGCAGGCUUAACACAUGCAAGUCGAGCGGAGUGAUGGUGCUUGCACUAUCACUUAGCGGCGGACGGGUGAGUAAUGCUUAGGAAUCUGCCUAUUAGUGGGGGACAACAUCUCGAAAGGGAUGCUAAUACCGCAUACGUCCUACGGGAGAAAGCAGGGGAUCACUUGUGACCUUGCGCUAAUAGAUGAGCCUAAGUCGGAUUAGCUAGUUGGUGGGGUAAAGGCCUACCAAGGCGACGAUCUGUAGCGGGUCUGAGAGGACGAUCCGCCACACGGGGACUGAGACACGGCCCAGACUCCUACGGGAGGGAGCAGUGGGGAAUAUUGGACAAUGGGGGGAACCCUGAUCCAGCCAUGCCGCGUGCGUGAAGAAGGCCUUAUGGUUGUAAAGCACUUUAAGCGAGGAGGAGGCUCUUUUGGUUAAUACCCAAGAUGAGUGGACGUUACUCGCAGAAUAAGCACCGGCUAACUCUGUGCCAGCCGCCGCUGUAA
rnacentral:rRNA from 1 species